rnacentral:rRNA from 1 species
GACCUCAAAUCAGGUAGGAACACCCGCUGAACUUAAGCAUAUCAAUAAGCGGAGGAAAAGAAAAUAACAAUGAUUCCCCUAGUAACUGCGAGUGAAGAGGGACAAGCUCAAAUUUUAAAUCUAUCGGGUUUUACCUGAUCGAGUUGUAAUUUGAAGAAGCGUUUUCUGCGUAUUUGGUCAGCCUAAGUCCUAUUGAAUGAGGCAUCAUGGAGGGUGAUAAUCCCGUCCGGUUGAUCAUUUGCGUUUUACGAUACGCUUUCUAAGAGUCAAGUUGUUUGGGAUUGCAGCUUAAAAUGGGAGGUAAAUUUCUCCUAAGGCUAAAUAACGGCGAGAGACCGAUAGCGAACAAGUACCGUGAGGGAAAGAUGAAAAGAACUUUGAAAAGAGAGUUAAACAGUACGUGAAAUUGUUGAAAGGGAAACGAUUGAAGCCAGUCGUACCUUCGGGUAAUCAGCCUUUCGGGUGCGAUUCUGUGGAGUGUGAGGAGCUUAAACACCUUCAUGUUUUGCAUAUUCGUACUCUUGGGUGUACUUGCCCGUGUGGUUGGUUAACAUCAAUUUUGGUGGUCAUAAAAUGACUGGGGGAAUGUAGCUUCGAUCUUGUAUUGAAGUGUUAUAGCCUUCGGUAGAUGUGAUGAUCGAGAUUGAGGAUUGCAACGGAUACCCUUUGGGGCUACCUGUCUGAUCUCUGAUCGUUGCUUUGGUGCCGAAAGCUUGCUUACGGUUAUCAAAGUCGAUGGUCAAUAGGUUAGAACGGGUUAAAUUCGUUAAGGAUGUUGACGUAAUGGUUUUAAACGACCCGUCUUGAAACACGGACCA